rnacentral:rRNA from 1 species
UACGAAGGGGGCUAGCGUUGUUCGGAAUCACUGGGCGUAAAGCGCACGCAGGCGGAUCGAUAAGUCGGGGGUGAAAGCCCGGGGCUCAACCUCGGAAUUGCCUUCGAUACUGUCGGUCUCGAGUCCGGGAGAGGUGAGUGGAAUUCCUAGUGUAGAGGUGAAAUUCGUAGAUAUUAGGAAGAACACCAGGGGCGAAGGCGGCUCACUGGCCCGGUACGGACGUUCAGGUGCGAAAGCGUGGGGAGCAAACAGG